UCAAGUGUUUUACUCGUCGUGGCGUCAAGAAAGUCAUUGUUUCAAGCUUGUUUUCAGCCGUUUAUAAAAGCUUGUAUAGAACCUUCCUUCGUGAAAGAUACUCUUAGCAAAGGAGGGGACAAUAGUUCUGGACCACACCGCGAAGCAGAUGGUUUACGCUCCAGUCAUAAUUUCGAUGCUGGUCCUCCUGUCUAUGGCUAAAGAGGGCACCCUGUGAAAGCCAAAGUAGUGUCGACCAGUUAUACCCAUUGCCAGGGUACAUCCUCAUUAAAACCAAGAGAAGGGCAUUGCCAGGGGUCUUUCCACUGGAAUAUAAAACGUGGCAUCGACAGCCCCUUCUCCAUCAAGAUGGAGGAACAGGUUCCCGUACUGUACAGGGGACUACGGCGGCGACAAGUCAAGUUGGAGAUGAAUGGCCUCACUACAGAGACAUUCGAUGAAAGGUGGAGAAGGCUCGCAGGACCAGUGCGUCGCAAGUUAGUUAAGGCUUGCGCUUUCAAGGCGGAAAUUGAAUUCGAUGGAUACUUCGUCUACAUGCUUACUCACCCUGAAGAAGGCAAUUUCAGAUGGGUACUUGUUAGUAUUACUCAACUUCAAGACACAUCGAAAGGGCUUCAGCCAAGUGGGACGAAGCUGACGUACGUCGCAAAAGGCGUGUAUGUGGAGAGAUAAUCUUGCUUCCGUCAUAGUAAGAAGAUAAUGUCAAGGUAAACAUAAAACUUGGGCACGCUCAUAUUCAUACGCAAAUGCUGAGUUCUUUUGAGUAAAGACCUAGUGAUACAUAUGUACAUUUGACUCUAUUUUAAACAUGACUGCACCUAUACGAAAUAAAGGCUUUUACAACUCAUUCGCAGCAGUUUAUUAGUCAACAAUUGCGCCGCACUUAACGGCCUCUAUCGCGCUUCGGUUUUCCCGGCACAAAAAUAAACAGUCAUUUUAGUCUUUUAUGGAUCAGUUCACGUUCUCACGUUUUUCGUGCUGUUCUUAUUACUUUUAUUGAGCGUGCGUCUCAUAUCUAUAAUUGGGACGUAACCAGGGUAGCCACAUGAAGUUUCGCAUUUCAUAGUAAAAAAAAAAAAGAGAAGACCACGGUUAUUGCUAACGCAUACACAAUGCAAUAAUACUUUACUAAAUUGGCAAGAGCAAAUGAAAGUGUAAAUAGCUUUUUAUUGAGUUCUGACCCCUUGCCAGUCAUAAAUGUAUUCCCUUACAUGGUACUAUGCGAGGGAAAUCAAGAAGAGAGAGAAGGCAUCUGGAGAAAGGGGGCUAAAGAAAGAAAACAUGAAAAAACAGAAUAAGACCCCACAAAUGGGCAAAAUUUUCGUGCAUGAACAAGCUGUAUUUCUGAGAAAUUCACACUAAUUUCAAUUCUAGCUGCGCUUUACAAAUAAGUGCACAUGAGUGAUAAGUUUGCACAGUUAAGGCUAGAAAUAGAAACUUCGUACAUUCGUUUCACAUUUAUGUCAAACUUCUGCUCACAUAAACUCGUCUGGACUUCGCGUCCGGGUCGUUGAUAUUAUACGUGACAAAACGUAGCAAAGAUAACUCUGAGAAGCAGCCUGCCGAUCCUACGUGACGAAGCUGUAGAUCGUGUGAUGGACGAUGAUUAGAAGAAGGUUGCUGAAACCCAGCAUGUGGUUAGUUUAAAAGAUUUCGCGAAUUGCUGCGUAUCGCCUUUUCAACGUACAUUCAACAGCCUCGUACAACGUGAAAUUAUUCUUCCUACAAAGAAAUCACUAACGUUUCUAUACCUUAGACAUUUUAGUCAGUGACCAUACGUCGCAAGGCGUUUCGCGUGCUAAACUACAACCUACUACAAUGCCCAUCUUUCUACCUAACUAGAUUUUGCGUGCUGCACGAUUACACAGCUCGUAAUAUCUUCGACAUACCCCUGCCCCGUGUUCGCCAUUAACUCCGUCAUCAUAAGUAAUCAUUUUCAGAACUUUGUAGACUCUUGGCGUUUGCGAGGUGUCACAUGACUAGAUGAACAUGAAAAUUUGCAAAACCAUACAGUGACAGUGAUACCAAGUCAUCGUGAAAUCAAAUGUACGACCUUUCUUAAUAAAGGGCAAAACUUUCUCUUUCUGUCAGAUCUGAAAUUUGCUUUUUUAUACUAUUUGUAUCGGGCGUUUCCACAGUGUUCUGUUUUCUCCUCUCCUUAGAAGAAACGUUGAAUUUCUUGUUGUAGUUGUCUAAUAAAAAAAGUCCCUGAAGUGAUUCCUCACUGCCACACUUUUUCGAACCAUUUGAUCUGUUAUUUCAACCUUGUGGCUAAAUUGAAAUGUUAUGCCUUUAGUCUGUAAAGUGUUUUUUGUUAUAUUGUAGCCUUUCUGCUGUCAAAUUAUCAAAACUGUUCAAAUGGAUAUAUGUCUGUUACUGCUUUAUUCCAUAUACUUAUUACGUUUGAGUAAAUCUGUUGUAUUGCCCUUCGGCUCUCAUAACACAACUAAGUUUUGCACUGCGCAGAUUCUGAAGCUUUAAGGUACGUAUCUCACAUGCCUGCCUUUACUUUAUUGGUGGUUUCCAGCGGCGCGUAUUAAGAAAUUCGACAGCAUUUCUUCGCCUGGCACAACCCAUUUUUAGGUGUCUCUCAGGCGUGAAAGGAAUCAUUUUCCGUUAUAGGUUCAGUACGCGUGAAAUUAGAGAAUUAUUUCUCUUUGAGGAAUCCAACCAAGCACUGACGAGGGGUAACUGUGUCCCUUUGGUUCCGAGCUUAGGUGUGACUAAAGAAGCGGCGUAUACAUAAUUUGAUUGCACUCUCCUACUUCUCUACGUGUGACAGACCGACGUGUCUUUAUAAUCUAGUGCAUAUGCCAAUAGAGACAAAUGCUGCAUUAUCAGCGUUCUGAAAGAUGAAAUGAAAACCGUAAGAAAUUAACAGAGGCUGACACCAGAGAAAGUCAUUGACUGUGAUAGAGACAGGAUACAUCGACAUCUCCAUGUCGCAUCAAGCAAAUAGUCGGGCUAGAGAAUUCAUUAAAUGGGCAUUGACAUUAAUGCUCAUUGUAACAGACGUAAACCUUCAUAAAAUGCGGAGGUAUGAAGAUAUUGGCCUUAAUGGAUGUAUAGCGCAUAUGUGAGUGUUUAAUUAUGUAGCGCGCUUUAGUAUUCAUCAUUGCCAUAUUUCUGUAAGUGUCAGUACAAACGAUACAAUCGAAGUUCAAAAGAAAAAGUAAGAAACACGAUCCCGUGAGUUCAACGGUGCAGGUGUGAAUAAUCUCAAAUUAGCACAGGUAAUUAGAGUGAGGUAAGUGCUCCCUAAUUGUUCAGUCAAUGUACAAGACAUUUUGACCAUUGUUUCGAAAAGGCAAACUGAAACUAUUUUCCUUCGUGUUUUUCCUAUGUUUAAAAUACCGAGAUAAAGUGAAUAAACUAAAAGUUUUAUAUGCAUUGUUUGAUAAGAUCACGUGCCCUUAUUAUGGAGCAUGGGCCAUAAAUGUCGCAUAGACAUUGCACAUAUUUAAAAUGCAUACCUAGUGGUCUGCAUACUUGUUGACUCGCCAAAGUGCAGUGAGAAGUCCAGGAAAGCUUCGCUCUAAAGCUUUCUUUGCAGCCAUGCUAAACCGGCGAUAAACCCUCGGUGGUCGCAACUCAAGGAACAACAUAGAAGCUCGAGGAAAACCACAGCAAGGCCUUCAAUUAAAAAUUACAUCAUCGCUUUGAGAUGAAAUUGGACAACAGUCCUUUGGCAGUCUUGGCAUCGAUUAUGUCGUUGAUGGCAAACGGUAUGUAACGGACGUUUUGCUAUCUCAUAACGAUAUAUUAUAUACAUGUAAAACACCGGCCUUUGUUGAUAAUCUAGUUUAGAAAACUUACGUCUUCACUUUCAACCACUCACCGAAAAAUGGCGAUCGUACCAAACAAUAUUGUCACGAUCAAUAGCCGACAGGACGACAGAGGACAAAGAAGCGAGCAGCACGAGCUGCAGCUGUGGGCUCUCUGAGGAAGACAACGUUGAGGCGUCUGCUCUUUUUGUUAUCUGAAUACAGACUUGUCUUUCCUCGUCGCAACGUGGUCCUCUUUCUUGUUAUUUCCGCGUUGCGACACUGGUGUUUGGGUCUGGACCUCAGUUCGCCGUCGUGGCCUCUCAGAGAAGCUAUUACGGCGGUGCUUUGGGCCGUAUAAAGUCCUCCGACGUCUCACUGACGUUAACUAUGAGGUUGUUCCCGACAGUCCACAUUGCUCAAGGCGUCAAAGGCAUGCACCAGAAGUUGUUCACGUGGUUCGGAUGAAGCCCUAUUUGUCCGAAUGAACUCAUGGGCUGCCAGUGAGUACAAACCCUGCUGCCAUGACGAUGAAGCAUCGGGACGAUGCUUUCUUGGAAAGGAGGCUGUCACGAUCAAUAGCCGACAGGACGACAGAGGACAAAGAAGCGAGCAGCACGAGCUGCAGCUGUGGGCUCUCUGAGGAAGACGACGUUGAGGCGUUUGCUCUUUUUGUUAUCUGAAUACAGACUUGUCUUUCCUCGUCGCAACGUGGUCCUGUCGGCUAUUGAUCUUGACAAUAUCAUUUUUCAUAAGCUUUAUGUUUCGGCCUAUAAAAUUGGAUAUUAUUGUCGUGACACUGCAUGCGAUCACGACGCGUACGCGUGCCGAAAUUACCAGUCGACGAGCUGCACUCUAGGUGACAAAGGGAACCACUCCCUCUUAUUGUGCCGGUCGAUAAUAUACACUCCGGGGAACAUCACGUGGUAAAGGUAGCUUGGCGCGCACAGUUGUCGCCCCGCUAUCUGUUCUGACGUCACACGCCGAACACGGGGAAGCGGUACCAGCAUAUCCCCCUUUUUUUUCAAGCACCGGAACAUGCGCACAUAUAUGGUAGAUAAUAUUUGUUGUACAAAACAAAAUAUAUGUUAUACAAAACAAAACACCAAACUACUACUCAUCAAUGCACUGUCGUAUGGGCUUCUUUACCACUCUACCAAACCGCUUUACAAUGGGAGUGGGUUCACCCACAACGCCAGUCAGAGGCACCACUGAAUCUGUUGCUGUCGAGCCAUUUGUGGCGCGCUUGGCUGCUCAGAGUUUUCUGGAAAUUCGUAAGUUUCCGUGUGCGCCCUUUCUUUUGGGAGACGGUUAAGCAUUCUCCUGUUUCGGCGGAGGACAACACCGUCAUUUGUUCGCACUACAUAUGACCGCGGUUUUGGUGCUGGUGCGAGGACUGUGGCCUUGGAUUGCAUGUCUGUCACCCAGACCAGGUCCCCUGCUUCUAGCUUGGAAAGCCGUCUGGCACGAUGGCGUUGGUUGUAGUAGCGGCAUUGCCGGUGCCUGACCUCCUGGUCGCGGGCCACGACUUCUUUCGGGCCGCUUUUUCCCGGAUUUCGAUUACGCGGUAGCAUUGGCACUCUUGUCCUCAAUCGCCUACCCAUAAGUACUUCAGCAGGACUGACUCCAAGAAUGCCGGGCGUCACCCUGAAGCCAGCAAUGCCAGGUAAGGGUCUUUAGACGUUAGAAUGAGGUGCUCAACCGUCUGAACCAUUCGCUCUACUUCCCCGUUCCCCUGCGGGUGCCUCGGACUCAUGGUGACGUGGCGAAACCCGUAUGACAUAGCGAACUGGUAAAACUCGAUGGACACGAACUGAGGACCGUUGUCGGUCACCACACACUCAGGGAUUCCAUGCCUAGCAAAAAUAUCUUUCAGUCUAUCAAUGACAGUUCCACACUUUGUGGAGGGAAGGCUGGCUACCUCAGGGUACCAUGAAAGAUAAUCCACUGCGACAAGGUAUGCCUGGCCGUUGAUUACGCACAGAUCUACUCCCACUCUCUCCCAAGGAAACGAUGGCAUUGCGGUUGCUAUCAUGGUCUCGGCUAGUUGCUGAGGAUGCUGUGCGCAAACAGUGCACUGAUUCACGUACUGUGCCAGUUCGGUGCUCAACCCUGGCCACCAGACAGAACAUUUAGCCACACUGCGACAACGCCCAAUACCCUGAUGCCCAUCAUGCAAUCUUCGCAGCACAUCCGUUCUUAGAGACAGUGGGAUUACCAGCCUUGUUCCUUUCAGCAAGAGACCAUCAAUCAUAUUAAGGCAUGCUCUAUCUUGCCAUUAAGGAAUGAAGAAAGAAGGAACAUUCGGUUUCCUUGGCCAAUUGGCCUUACACAGCCUGCGCAGGUGUUUACAAAUGGGAUAAUUCAUUUUACAUUCUCUCACUCUAGACAAAAAAUUGUCCCCCGUUUCCAAGCCAAGCAAACACGCCUUAGAGUAUGCUGUGACAUCUGACACACUCAAGCCUUUUUCGAAAUUGCUGCAUGCAACUGGGGACCGCGAAAGGGUGUCGGCUGUGACUAGCGAUUUGCCGGGAACGUACUGAACACUGAAAAGAUAGCGCAUUAGGCGAAGCCGGAAGCGUUGAAUUCUCGGGGGCGUAUCAUCAAUGGCCAUCUGGCCUAGUAAGGGCACUAACGGCUUGUGAUCCGUUUCGAAGGUAACGUUUAGGCCACGAUGUACUUGUCAAAUUUUUCGGCUGUGCACGUCAGUGCUAGCGCUUCUUUUCGUAUCUGGGAGUAUCGCCGUUCUGUGUUCGUGAGGGAUCGAGAUGCGAAAGCUAUUAGUCUACGGUGACCGUCUUUCUGCGUUUGAAAAAGUACAGCUCCCAGUCCGAAAGAGGAUGUGUCCGCUGAAAGGAUGGUAGGAAGCGUUGCAUCGUACAUGCCAUACACUGCGCAGAACAAAUUAGCCGUUUCAGCUCGUUCAGCGCCUUUCUU